rnacentral:lncRNA from 13 species
CGUUUGCUCCGAGAGGGGAGCUGGAGGGGAAAGGAGGGACAGUUGUCUUUUUUUCCUUUUUUCUAUUACAAAAGAACCCCAAUGUCUCCUUUUGAAGCGAGCUCAUCAUGUGGCCCGCCUGUGGGGCGAGGGGCUGCGGCUCCCUAGAGCUGAGCAGGGUGGAGGCUCUGCCUUCCAGGCUCCUGGGCCGAAGGGCGGGCUCCCAGCCAUCCAGAGCGCAGCACACAUUUCAAAGACAUCUCCAUCCCUUUAAUUCCGAGAUGCGGUAAGCGCCUCUGACCCCCACCCUGUGCGCUCACAAUACCUGCUUCUGGGAUGAAUCAACGAAUCUAGGACAAGCAGCCAGAAGUGAAACAGGCAACCUGCUCUUUCAUCUCCGAGUUUCCAACAACAUCAGGGAGGCAGAGCCAAAAAGUCAGAGGGAGGCGGGCAGUGGGCUGGUGCCCGACUCCCGGCAGAGACCCUCAAAGCCUGCAGAGCCCAGGGGGCCCCCAACAGCCGCUGAUGGGGCCACACUGCCCGGAUGCCUCUGCCAGGCUGAGAAACACGCUGAGCCCUGGUUCCCAUAAAUUCGGCUUUUAUGUGGCUGUGAAUAGGAGUGAACAAUGGAUCUAUUGCAGGCUGCACAGAACUGGCCCAGCCUGGGUUUCCCUCCCGCAGUUAGGAGCCUUGGCAUGGCAGCGUUCUGGAGCCCCCGGCCUGUCUUUUCCCUCAGCCCCCUUCCAACUGUGGCUCCCGCUGUUCAAGCCCUUCCCCUCCUGCGGAAGCCAGCCCACCCCUGCAGGCAUUUGGGCAUCAUACCCAGUCAGAACCCUCACUCUGGGAGAGGCCAGUGACCCGGACGGGAGCUUCCCUAUGGAGAGGACGUGUGGCAAGGAGGGAUCUGAAUCCUGGUGACAGCCAUUAGGGAUCUGAAUCCCGGUGACAGCCAGGCAGGUGAGUCAAGUGGCUUUUUCCCCGGUUGUGCCUUUGGGUGACUGUCCUCUAGCCGAUAACUUGCAAGAGACACUGAGUCAGAAGAACCGGCGGUCCUGUGCCUGGAUUCCUGGCUCACUCGUGAAAUGGUAAACACUUGUUAUUUGGGGUCUGUUACGCUGAGCCAAUGUGCUUUGUCACUGGGAAUAGGUGAAUAAUGCAGCACUGUCUCUUUCCCUCCCGGACCUUCUCUGUUGAACUGUUGCUGUCUCACACUGAGUUUCCUUUCCUCUUCCUGCCAACACAGCCGUAUUGAUUUGGGUUAAAUCAAUACUCAUGCCUCGUGGGAUCAGGACCAUGUAAGUACCAUAUAACCCUGAGCCAGGCGGUGCCUUCUAGUGGUAUUUCUUUCUCUGCACAUUUUUAUUUUCCUGGAGUUAGUUAUUGCCUUGCUUUUAUUUAAAAAGAAACAAAACGUUAGCUUUCCACAUGCCUAUGUAUAUUCCAAAUGUUCUAACGGAAUUCUCAAAUGCUGGCAACACAUUUUCAAAUGCUCAGAUGCACCAGACAAUCCCGUUUCCAUUUUCCUUUUCUCCUGGCACUUUCCCUCUUUGGACCUUCGCCCCUUGCUCUGGAGUCUUGGUUCUCUGGACCCGAGGUGCACCUGCCGCUCUGGGGGAUGCCUUUCACCCCUCUUCUGAGUUGCACAAGCUGUUUUCUGUAUCCCAGGGUUUCCCUGUACACGGUGUCACCCAAACACUGUAGAAUCUUAGGAAAAAGACAUGGAAAUAAAAUGUUGACUCCUGGUAGGUCUGAAAAUACC